AUCUUUUCCUUCCACAGAUAACAAGAUCUUAAUUUCGCUUGUAGUUUAUAGCUGUAUGAAUAGGUAAAAGGGGAUUCUUACUCGGAUGCAAAACUCAGAACAUGACCAAAGACUAAUUUUCUAGGUUGUACAGGAAAACACAGAGAAGACAAAAUGGAGGCUUUUAAAAACCCUUCAGGGGAUCUGGCACAGUGGCUAACACCUGUAAUCCCAGCACUUUGGGA
rnacentral:lncRNA from 1 species